rnacentral:lncRNA from 1 species
AACAAUCCUCUGCAGAUGAUUGAAAUAGGAACGUUUGAUAACCUAACCAACCUCCAAGAGUUGGAUAUUCGAAACACACUGAUAUUUGAAUCAGGCGAUACUGAAUUUGGCGCGUUCACAGGCUUACAUAAUCUAGAAACCUUGUAUGCUGACAAAUACCUUAUUUGCUGCCUGGCGGGUUUAGGGGAUUCCCCUAACUGCAAUGCACCACGUGACCAGUUCUCGUCGUGUGAAGAUCUCAUGGCCAAUAACAUCCUUCGAAUCUUUAUCUGGAUU